AGCUUGGUGGCAUAGUGGUUAAGCGUUUGGCUGGUAACCAAAAGGUCGUCAAUUCGAAUCCACCAGCUG
rnacentral:tRNA from 1 species